rnacentral:rRNA from 1 species
GUAGGGAAUAUUGCGCAAUGGACGAAAGUCUGACGCAGCGACGCCGCAUGAGUGAUGAAGGCCUUAGGGUCGUAAAGCUCUGUUGAAUGGGAAGAAAAAAAUGACGGUACCAUUCGAGGAAGGACCGGCUAACUUCGUGCCAGCAGCCACGGUAAUACGAGGGGUCCUAGCGUUGUUCGGAAUCAUUGGGCGUAAAGGGUGUGUAGGUGGCCAUGUAAGUCAGGUGUGAAAGCCCCGGGCUCAACCCGGGAAGUGCACUUGAUACUGCGUGGCUUGAGUACCGAAGAGGGUAGUGGAAUUCCAGGUGUAGUGGUGAAAUACGUAGAUAUCUGGAGGAACACCGGUGGCGAAGGCGGCUACCUGGUCGAGUACUGACACUGAGACACGAAAGCAUGGGGAUCAAACAGGAUUAGAUACCCUGGUAGUCC